GGCCCGUUGGAGAAACGGUUAACUCAUAUGCCUUUCACGCAUACAUUCACGGGUUCGAACCCCGUACGGGUCACCA
rnacentral:tRNA from 2 species